CAAUAUCUGGUCUGGUAUCUGACUUUUUUUAAGAGGUCACAGUAUUUACUGGUUCUGUCCAUAAGUCCUGGACUAAAGACUACUUCUUUGACAAGUGCACGUAUUCCUCAGUGCUGUUUGCCAUGAUUGAGGAAUACUAAAGAGGUGUGGGCACAACUCCAAAAAAAGGAUGAGGUACAGGGGGUGAAAUGAGGUCCUGAGUCACUAAAGACCCGAGGGUAAGGAAAGCAGACAGACAUUUCAGAUGAGCAUGUAAGAAUUGUAAUUUUCUGAAAGGGUUCAGGUUUUUCUGAAACAUUAACUCUUAGCUUUUCCUGAAUGUUUGAUAUGAUACACAGAUACAUAAAAAUAUUUAAGAGUAUGCAGUGAAUUAAUUUCACUGUGCAUUGAUUUCAGCUGUUAUUAUGCACUGUGUAAUGUGCUGUAAUGAAACAUUACAACCCCUUAACUCCCACACCCGUGCCCAAAGUUGGACCCCUCCCUGUUCAAAGAAAAUCUACGCCAGUGGAUGAACUAUACCUGUAGUUACUCCUCUGCUAGGACACCUGUGUGAAGGUGAGUAAACUGACUUCAUAAAUCACCUAAAAUCACCUUAUGACCAGUUGGUUAAAAGUAAUUGUAAAAUGGCAAAAAUUUCCUGGAAAAGUUCUAGCAUCGUUUGUUUGCAGAUGCUGUUUGGUUUGCUAUUUUUUUUAUCUAAUGCAAUAACAUUCAUACAUUCACACAACCUUUUAU